CCCUUAGAUGUCCUGGGCCGCACGCGCGCUACACUGACAUGUUCAACAAGUUUCUCCUAGUUCGACAGGACUGGGAAAUCUUUGAACGCAUGUCGUGAUAGGGAUAGAUCAUUGCAAUUAUUGAUCUUGAACGAGGAAUUCCUAGUAAACGCGAGUCAUCAGCUCGCAUUGAUUACGUCCCUGCCCUUUGUACACACCGCCCGUCGCAACUACCGAUUGAAUGUUUCGGUGAAGAUUCCGGAUAGGACUGAUUUGAUUUAUUUCAUUUCUGACCUAAAAGCUAUCUAAACCUCAACAUUUAGAGGAAGGUGAAGUCGUAACA
rnacentral:rRNA from 1 species